UUCCAUUCUUCGUCAAUCGAGUAGCAUCACAGCAAAAAAUAUCAAAAGCUUUGAUCAAUCAGCUGAACUCUUACUGCCAAGAUACAAGAUGUCUUACAAGUUAGCCAUUUGUCUAGUUGCCAUUUGUGCCAUUUCUUUCGUCCAUGGUUCAGAUGAAGAUGCCCUCCAGGAUUUCUGUGUCCGCGACAAAGACAGCAACACCAUCGUCAAUGGAUUCACUUGCAAGCCUGCUGCGGCCACUCUAGCCAGUGAUUUCAUGUUCCAGGGACUCAGGAACCCCGGGAACACCAACAACAAGCUCGGAUCCAUAGUCACCAAUGCAAAUGUUGGCGUAUUCCCGGGAAUCAACACUCUUGGAGUCUCUUUUGCGAGGAUUGAUUAUGCUCCAUACGGUGUCAAUCCCCCUCACGUCCACCCCCGAGGAACCGAGCUCCUCUUCCUCCAGCAAGGAACACUCUAUGUUGGAUUCGUGAGCACCACCAACAACACACUCUUCGCUCAAACUUUGCAUCCAGGGGAUCUCUUUGUGUUUCCGCGUGGUCUCAUUCACUUCCAGCUCAACGUUGGGGAGACACCGGCUGUUGCUCUUGCGGGAUUCAACUCCCAGAAUCCGGGUGUCACCCAGGUAGCCAAAGCAGUGUUUGCAUCCAAUCCUCCCAUUUAUGACGCUGUCAUCGAGAGGGCGUUCCAGAUCAAUCCCAAGCUCAUCCAGCAGCUCAGGGACCUCAUCAAGCAAACUUAAUCAGCUUGUUCUCGCAUUAAUUCUUUCAUAAAUUCCAAUAAUAUUCAAAUUUUGCCUGGCUUACCAAAAAGCAAGAAAGUUUUUGUCACGCUGCAAAUAUUACGACAAUAUCACGAGGCUUGUUAGUUCCUUCAUGGCUUGACCAAACUGAAACAAUCCACACUCUGGUUUUGAUCAAGCUAGUGAAAUUAACAUGUUUAUCCUCGUUCAAUCUUGAUUCUUAGUAAAAUGACCAAGCAAGAUCUGGUGUGCUCAAGGAAGGGGGCAUGAUGCUAAUCCCCUCGAAUGGCACGUAAGGCCCGCCAGCAAACACCGGAGUUCCAUAGCCAAAGUCGAGCUCGUAGAUUGGAAGCUGGGCCCAGCUCGUCACGCUCAAGUUUGGGCUCAGCACCGUUUUGCCACUCCUCGCGAUCUGGACGGGGUUCUUCUGCUGGAGCUCCACGAAGUCCAUCUGGGAGCGGAUGUACCCGUUGUCAAGCCGCUUGAUGGAACCCUGGAUGAGAUCCGUGGCGUAGGAUGCUGGUUUCUCCAGGAGAUCCUUCGCGGUGCUGUGGCUGCUGGCGUGGGAGAUGACGUUGCCGAAGUAGUCGUCGGGGAUGGGAGGAACGAGCCUCUUGUUGGUCGCGAUCAAAACUCGGGUUUGGACUUCACCAUCGAUGCCAUGGGCGCGAGUGAUGCACUUCCAGAGAUGACUCGUGAGGCUGACGAACGUAGAGGAUCCUCGGGCAUCGCCUUCUUUCGUCGCCGACUGCUUGAUCCUCUUGAGGAGAUCGAUGCUGAAGUGGAGCUUCUAUACCGAGAGUGGGGGAUUCUCGGGCUGAGGAGCGUCCGGCUUGGGCGGAGGACGCUUGUACUCUGGAUGCUCGAACUUUGGCUGCGGUGGAUGGUUGGCCAUGAGAAAAGAUUGGAGGAACGAUUGGAGUCUUCUUGACAAUGCUGGCCCAGGCAUUCAUGAAAGCGCUGGCACCUUCUCCAUCCGCGACUUGGUGCUUCCUUGCCACUCCCACAGUGAUUCCACCUCAAGUGAAUUUGGUUACCUGGAAAAAAGAAAACUCUGAAAACAUCCUUUUGGUGGAAACAAAGAAGCUUGCAAAUGAAGGAACGAAAGCAAUCAAUGUAGCCCACCAAGAAGAAGGAAAGAAGACAUCUAGCCUCAGAGCGAUGCAUGUGACAGUGAUUCAAUUUCCCAGCGAUGGCUGCUUGGAUUCUGCUCAAAACCUCCACGUCAAGGGUCUUCGAGCUUGACUACUCUACAAGGGCGUGUUAAAGCGUCAACACCAUCUUGACUCAUGGUCGCGUUCUCCCUUGUUCGUCCUCCUCGAGGAAUGCAAGAGAGAAUAGAGUUGGUAAAUCUCUGUGUAGAGAGAAAGAGAUGGAAGAGAAUGCUGCCGUACUGCUUCUUCGCCUUGCAAACAAUUUCCUUCUAUUCAUCUCUGGUGGAGUGUGACAUCUUCAACGAAGCCAACGUUUUAGUUAAGGACUAAUUCUUGGUCCAUGUCUUCUUGGUUCUUUCCUUUUGAUGGAUUGAAUGUAGCAUACCUUCAGUUCUUUUGAUAACGGCUUGACCACCACCGGAUCAACCUGAAUAAUGAUUUCGUCACCUUGAACCGGUGAAAUUAACGUGUUCUCCAUUGUCUCAGUAAAAUGACCAAGUCAGAUCUGGAGUGCUCACAACUCCUAUAUAAACUCCAGCGACCUCCACACUUCUCCCCACUCCAUUCUUUAUCAAUUCAGUAGCAUCACAACAAAAAAUCUGUGUGAAGAUACAAGAUGUCUUACAAGUUAGCCAUUUGUCUAGUUGCCAUUUGUGCCAUUGCUUUCGUCCAUGGAUCAGAUGAAGAUGCCCUCCAGGAUUUCUGUGUCCGCGACGGAAACAGCAACACCAUCGUCAAUGGAUUCACUUGCAAACCUGCUGCGGCCACUCUAGCCAGUGAUUUCAUGUUCCAGGGACUCAGGAACCCCGGGAACACCAACAACAAGCUCGGAUCCAUAGUCAC
rnacentral:lncRNA from 1 species